GUUUCGACUCAUUUAUCAAAUUAAUUUAAACCACGAGCAAUUCAUUCCAUCAUCCAAAGUGGGUUAGACCCAACAUCAUCUCUCUCUUCUCUCUCUAAAUGAUGCAUGUCCUUCAAUUUCGUUUGCAUAGAUUACGAAAGAAAGAAAUACAAGACUGUGUAAGAGAGAGAAAAACAAUAACCAAGCCAAAUUAAAGGGGGAAAAAUGGAAUAUGCAAUUCAUUCAAGAACCCUCUUCUUCUUCCUCCUCUUCCUUUUCUUGUUAUGCAUAACCACAGCUUUUAACCUAACCACCCUCAGAUUCGAUGAAGCCUAUUCCCCUCUCUUCAGUGAUUUCAACAUUCAACGAUCACCCGAUGAAAAGACCGUUCGUCUCCUCCUCAACCGUUUUUCCGGUAACCGUUUCAUCGGGAAGCUUAAGCAGUUAGACACGAGCCACGUCCCCACACCCCCAAUUAAGUCAUAUGUAUUUAUGCAUGUGUGUAGAUGUUGGAAAACUAUUUGUGGGUUUGAAAAAUUCUGUUGGAAAAGCAUGGGAAAUUUAGGGUGGAAUUUGUAUAAACGUG
rnacentral:lncRNA from 1 species